rnacentral:rRNA from 1 species
AUUGAACGCUGGCGGCAGGCCUAACACAUGCAAGUCGAGCGAGCGGCGGACGGGUGAGUAAUGUAUGGGACCCUGCCCGAAGGAGGGGGAUAACUACUGGAAACGGUGGCUAAUACCGCAUACCAUCCGAUUAACCCAGAUGGGAUUAGCUAGUAGGUGGGGUAAAGGCUCACCAAGGCCACGAUCCCUAGCUGGUCUGAGAGGAUGAUCAGCCACACUGGAACUGAGACACGGCCCAGACUCCUACGGGAGGCAGCAGUGGGGAAUCUUGCACAAUGGGCGCAAGCCGGAUGCAGCCAUGCCGCGUGUGUGAAGAAGGCCUUCGGGUUGUAAAGUACUUUCAGCGGGGAGGCGUUACCCGAAGAAGAAGCACCGGCUAACUCCGUGCCAGCAGCCGCGGUAAUUC